GACGAACGCUGGCGGCGUGCUUAACACAUGCAAGUCGAACGGAAAGGCCCUGCUUUUGUGGGGUGCUCGAGUGGCGAACGGGUGAGUGACACGUGAGUAACCUGCCCUUGACUUUGGGAUAACUUCAGGAAACUGGGGCUAAUACCGGAUAGGAGCUCCUGCUGCAUGGUGGGGGUUGGAAAGUUUCGGCGGUUGGGGAUGGACUCGCGGCUUAUCAGCUUGUUGGUGGGGUAGUGGCUUACCAAGGCUUUGACGGGUCGCCGGCCUGAGAGGGGGACCGGCCACAUUGGGACUGAGAGACGGCCCAGACUCCUACGGGAGGCAGCAGUGGGGAAUAUUGCACAAUGGGCGGAAGCCUGAUGCAGCAACGCCGCGUGCGGGAUGACGGCCUUCGGGUUGUAAACCGCUGUCGCCUGUGACGAAGCGUGAGUGACGGUAAUGGGUAAAGAAGCACCGGCUAACUACGUG
rnacentral:rRNA from 1 species